rnacentral:rRNA from 1 species
CCUACGGGUGGCAGCAGUGGGGGAUAUUGCACAAUGGGGGAAACCCUGAUGCAGCGACGCCGCGUGGGUGAAGAAGCGCCUCGGCGCGUAAAGCCCUGUCAGCAGGGAAGAAAAUGACGGUACCUGAAGAAGAAGCCCCGGCUAACUACGUGCCAGCAGCCGCGGUAAUACGUAGGGGGUAAGCGUUAUCCGGAUUUACUGGGUGUAAAGGGGGCGCAGACGGCGAUGCAAGCCAGGCGUGAAAGACCGGGGCCCAACCCCGGGACUGCUCGUGGAACUGCGUGGCGAGAGUGCAGGAGGGGCAGGCGGAAUUCGUGGUGUAGCGGUGAAAUGCGUAGAUAUCAGGAGGAACACCGGUGGCGAAGGCGGCCUGCUGGACUGCAACUGACGUUGAGGCCCGAAAGCGUGGGGAGCAAACAGGAUUAGAUACCCCGGUAGUC